CACGUAGGGGCGAGCGUUGUCCGGAUUUAUUGGGCGUAAAGAGCUCGUAGGCGGCUCGGUAAGUGAGGUGUGAAAACUCCAGGCUCAACCUGGGAGACGCCACCUCCAUACUGCCCGUGGCUAGAGUCCGGUAGGGGAGCAUGGAAUUCCGUGGUGUAGCGGUGAAAUGCGCAGAUAAUCAGGAGGAACACCAGUGGCGAAGGCGGUGCUCUGGGCCGGAACUGACGCUGAGGAGCGAAAGCGUGGGGAGCAAAGCAGG
rnacentral:rRNA from 1 species